CCGCGACUCGCCCGGGCAGGGGGGUGGGUAGGUGGGGGGCCGAAAGAAGCAGCCCGCGGGCAGGUCGCGAACAGCAGCGCUGUUCUUCGCCUCAGUCAGACGCCAAGGAAAAGGCAGCUGCGGCGGCGGUCCUGCUAGCAGCCCAGAAGGGCUUGGGCGUGAGGGCGCUCCAGCUUCUGCAUCUCCAGGCGCCCUUCCAUCCGACNCUUCAGAACCUCAUGAAUCAUCUCUACUCUGAUUGCUGCUCUCAGUUACCNUGUUUCAGACCUCUGCAAAUAGCAAAGCAGCAGAACCCAUUUUGCUUGAUGAAAUUCAGUUCCCACUUUCUGUAUGCUGGCACCUGGCUCAGAAAAUAUCACUUUUCUCGCACAUGCCUUCUGAUAUGUUACCAGUAAUUGUGCUCUCAAAAACUGAACAACACUAGGAAACAGCUUGAAAGUACGGAGCAAA
rnacentral:lncRNA from 1 species